UACGGGGGGGGCAAGCGUUGUUCGGAAUUACUGGGCGUAAAGGGCUCGUAGGUGGCCAACUAAGUCAGACGUGAAAUCCCUCGGCUUAACCGGGGAACUGCGUCUGAUACUGGAUGGCUUGAGUUCGGGAGAGGGAUGCGGAAUUCCAGGUGUAGCGGUGAAAUGCGUAGAUAUCUGGAGGAACACCGGUGGCGAAGGUGGCAUCCUGGACCGACACUGACACUGAGGAGCGAAAGCCAGGGGAGCAAACGGG
rnacentral:rRNA from 1 species